rnacentral:rRNA from 1 species
UACGUAGGGGGCAAGCGUUGUCCGGAAUCAUUGGGCGUAAAGAGCGUGUAGGCGGCUCGGUAAGUCCGCUGUGAAAGUCCAGGGCUCAACCCUGGAAUGCCGGUGGAAACUGUCGAGCUAGAGUCCGGAAGAGGCGAGUGGAAUUCCUGGUGUAGCGGUGAAAUGCGCAGAUAUCAGGAGGAACACCGAUGGCGAAGGCAGGUCACUGGGCCGCAACUGACGCUGAGGAGCGAAAGCAUGGGGAGCGAACAGG